rnacentral:other from 1 species
UUAACCCUGGGGUGCCAUCUAGUUGUUUCACCCUGAGCCGAUAAUAUGAAGACUAAAGCGUCUUCCCAUGUGAUGUUGUAUAUACUUCCAUUGUCGAAGGAAUCUGAUUCACAUACAGGCGCUAAACUUGAACGUACUGGUUCAAGGAGUCGUACACAACGGAUACACUUCUGGGGCUCUA